rnacentral:lncRNA from 1 species
UUCAUUUUUUUAUUUUUUUUUAAUUAAAAAACGUUUUUUUUUUCUUUUUCUUCGAAUGUAUUAUUUCAUUUAUUAUCAUAGUUCAAACCGAUAUACGAAUAUUAUAUGGGAAGUGUCAUGUCACAUGUAAAAAAAAUUAAUCAAGUCCAAUUAGUGUUAUAUAUAUAUAUAAAGAAAACAUGUAUAAAUAUUUAAUUAAAUAUUUUAAUUGGAAGAUAUACAAUUCGUAGUUUUUUUUUUUAUAACAUUUUUAAUUUUGAUAAUAUACAUAUAUAUGUGCAUGUAUUUAUAUAUAUUUUUUUUAAAGUUUAUACCCAUUAAUAUCAAUAACAACAAAUAUGGUUAGUAACAUUUCCGUACAGUUUUAAGUACAAAUAUAUCAAAAAUUUAAUACUUCAAUAUAUAUACUAACAUAAUUUUAUAUACAUAAAGAAAAAUCAUGAGUGAUAUAAUAGUGGAAAAGAUAUACUUAUCUCAAAAAGUUUUAGACUAUCAGCCAACAAAGGAUGAAAUUAAAAUUGUUAAAUUAUAAAAACAAAAAAAAAUACAUAUACAUAUAUAUAUAUAUAUGUAUAUAUAUAAAUGUGUAUAAAUCUAAAAGUUGUCUGACUUAAACACACUUCACAAUAAAUAUAUUUAUUUAGUAUAAAUUUAAUAUCUGUUUCUUGAUUUUUUUUUUUUGUUUUUAUUCCUUUUACUUUAUUUAUUCAUUUAUUCAUUUAUUUAUUUAUUUACUUAUUUAUUUUAUUUUAUUUACUUUUUUUAUAUAUUCAGUACCACAAAAACAAUCUAAAAAGCUUAAGGUUCAUUUUUUGUAAUCAAGAAUUAGAUGCUUUUGAAAAAGAAAAAUUACAAGAAUUAAAAAAUUAUGUAAAUAAAUUAAAACAAACAGAAUGGGAAAAACAAAAAGACAAUAAAAGUGAAUUACAAACAUACGAACAUAUUUUUAAAAACACGUUAUUUAAUGAUGACAAUUAUGUACUAAGGUUUUUACAAGGAAAUGAAUUUAACAAUGAAAAGUGUUUUACGGAUAUGCUGAGGCAUUUGGAAUGGAGAAAAUCAAAUAUUCCUGUAUUAUAUAAUGAUGUUAAAGAUAUGUUGAAUAAUGGAUAUGUUUACAUUCAUGGAAGAGAUAAACAAAUGCACCCAAUAAUAGUUAUCAACUGUAAACGUUUUAUAACUGUAAACACGGUAAGUAUAUAAGUGGGGAUGCAUGCAUAUGUAUAUGUAUAUUAACACAUGUAAUAGCACCUUUACAUAAACACUUUAGUAAAAAAAAAAAAAAAAAAAAUCUUUUUACUUAUGCAUUUCUAAUAUUUUUAUUUUAAUAUAUACGUUUAAGUAUUUGUUAUUCAAUACAAUUUUUGUUUUUUUUUGUGUGUUUUUUGUUUUUUUUUUAUUGUAUUAUAUUUUUUGUAGAGU